AAGUCAUCGUUAAAUCUCAUUUCCUAUAGUAGACGUAUACGUUCUCCGUUUGUUGCUCCCACUAUUCCUGCAAAGAAUAUCCGUGACGAGCGACGGUUCGUUUCAGUUGGUUACGAGAACCGAACGGAACCGGUACCAGAGGAGCGAAUAGAACCUGUAACCGCUUCAAAAGAAGCUGAUUCGAAUAAUGUCGGCCACUCAGUACUAUCAUGUGCAGUGCACACCAACUGUCUAUUCUGCCGAUCCUUUCGACCCAGAAGAAGAUGCAGCUCUUCUACGAACUGCCAUGAAGGGUUUCGGCACUGAUGAACAGACAAUAAUCGAUGUCCUUGCUCAUCGUGGAAUUGUACAACGACUUGAAAUAGCUGACAAAUUUAAAACCAUGUAUGGAAAGGAUCUGAUUUCUGAGUUGAAAUCGGAACUUGGUGGUAAUUUUGAAAAGGCAAUUUUAGCAUUGAUGACACCGUUACCGGAAUAUUUCGCUAAAGAACUUCAUAAUGCGAUGUCUGGAAUUGGCACGGACGAAGGUGCUCUCAUCGAGGUGCUGGCAUCUCUUAGCAACUAUGGCAUCAAAACCAUAUCUGCUGUUUAUAAAGAAGUGUAUGGAACGGAUUUAGAGGAUGAUUUGAAAAGCGAUACUUCUGGCUAUUUUAAGAGGCUGUUAGUUUCACUUUCAUGCGCCAAUAGAGAUGAAAAUCCUCAAGUUGACGAACAAGCUGCAAUGCAAGAUGCCGAAAGAUUACUUGCAGCUGGUGAGGAACAAUGGGGAACAGACGAAAGUACUUUUAAUGCUAUUCUCAUUACGAAAAGUUUCCCUCAACUACGAAAAAUUUUUGAGGAAUAUGAACGCCUUGCUGGUCACAGCUUAGAAGAAGCUAUUAAGACAGAAUUUUCCGGAUCAGUCGAAGACGGCUAUCUUGCAGUUGUCAGGUGUGCACGAGAUAAAACUGCAUAUUUUGCGGAGAGAUUAUACAAAGCAAUGCGUGGAUUAGGUACAGAUGACUCGACAUUGAUACGCAUAAUCGUAGCUCGAUCGGAAAUCGAUUUAGGAGAUAUUAAGGAUACUUAUCAAAAAAUGUAUGGACAAUCGCUUGCAGGUGAUAUCGAUGAUGACUGUUCAGGAGACUACAAGAGACUCUUGCUUGCUCUACUUGGAUGAAAGCAUUUCAUGUUCAACAAUUCUUUUUAUUUUUAAAUCUUACUUUAACGCCAGGAAUAUAUCUUCGCAACAUUCCGCGAAGCUGUAUAGAUGUCUUAACUUUAAUUUGUUCUAAAUUACAUCAAUAAUUAGCAGUGAUUACGAGUGAUUGCACUGCUGAGUGGAAAAGACUUCUGAUUGCGAUGUUGAAUUAAAAAUAGAUUUAUUCGAUAAAAGUCGUUGAAACAAUACCCUUGUAUUACGAUAAAAAACAAACUACAUAUUCAUUGUAUAAGAUUGAGAAGUAAUUUGGAGUUUAAGGAAUAAAUUACCAAUGAUAUUAAAAAGUUAAGGAAUUUAAUGCAGCCCAAAUUUUCAACGGAUAUUAAUGUUAUAGCGCACAGAUUGUAAAAUAGAAUUAUUGAAUAACAUUUAGUAAUUAUGUUAGAUUGGUAAUAAUGAAAUAAUAAGAUAAUAAUAAGAAAAAUGGAAUAAUGGUAAUCGAGCAGCUGAAACGUGAGUGAUACAGAAUAAUUUUCAUAACGUUCGAUGUAUCUUAUUUAUUAAAUGUUUUUCCUAUUGUAGUAUAGAACCAAUGUUUAUUUCUCAAUACUCCACAGCAGAGUAUUCGACGACAGUUGUCGGAUUUGAGAAGUAUAAAAAAUAAAAUGAAAAUGAAGAGUAAUAGAAUUGCGUUUCAA